UUCUUAUUGAUUUAGUUGUUUUUAUUGUUGUUCCUUUUACUCUUUGUGAACCACCUUGGUCAACAUUGUUUUUAAAUGUACCAUAUAAAUACAUUUGACACUUGCAGAGCACAAUGUGUUCUUGAUGCACUCCACAGGACCCUUAUAAGACCCUACAAACCCCAUCAACACACAUUUCUGAUAGAUUUCUAAUGUAAUUGUGUGCUCUUAUUGCCCCUCACACAGAAGUUUCCACUCUGUCUUGAUAAAGAAAAUGUUAGAGAUACUUCUGAAAGUGCAAUAACAAACAGUUUCAUUUCAACAUCACUCUUAAAUUGUAUUACAGAAUAUAAAACUCUAUAUUGUUUUAGACUGCACUACUCUUAUGUUGCACCCUUCAUCAUACAUUGGGUUUCAAUUUGAGCUACAAUUCCACAUUUCAGCAUCUUGGUGGUUUUGUUGGGCUUGUUGGAAAAUUAUCUCUGUGCUGUAUAACUUAAUUUAAUCAAUCAGCGGACAAAAAGGACUAAAACCCUGGGCGCUAAUUAGGUUAUCUGAAUGCACAAACACUCUCAAUUGUAGCUUUUUCCCUCUCUGUGGGUGGAUGAAAUCUUACAAUUAAGUAAGAUAAUGGAAAAUAGGAAGAUUAUUUGAUUAUUCCUAAAGGAUACAAGUAAAGCCCUGUUGUUCUUGUUGCAAUUUUCAUAAUUUCCGCUGUUUAUCAUCAUAUGUGUUGCAUUUGCAUAACACUAGAAUCUAACCUCAAGCCUAUCCUUCCCAUUUUCAUUGCAUUAGCUUACAGUUUUUCCACAAAUGCGCUAACGUUGGCUUAUCUCCUGAAAGAUAAUGCUGUGCUCUCUGGAGUAUGUUCUGCUAUCACUUUGCUGGAAGAAUGGGAUCUUCCCGUUAUAAUGUGCAGGAAAUCCAUCCACUGCUGUCAAAGCAGUUUUACAAUAGGGCCACAGAGUGGGUGUUUCCUGAUGAACUUGGCCGACUCAGGCACUCAAACAAUUUAGUUCAUAGCUUCUCCAUUAGGGUCUGGACUGGAACCUGUGUGGGAUGUGAACACACACCAGCUGUGGCUGUAGCUCUGAUUAUGUUCGGAGCAACUCUCAGCAACGGAGAACCUUGAAGUUGAGGUUUUCAUGGACUCAACCCAGAUUUUUGAAUUUCUCUGAUAGAAAUUCAUUGCUGGCCAAAACAUAUUUAGGAAACGGUCCACAUUAGCUUAUAUUUUGCUUUCUUUCCAUCCAUCCAUUCUUUUACACCCUUAUCCCAUUGGGGUCAGGAGGGGUGCUGGUGCCUACCUCCAGCUGUCAGCGAGUGAGAGGCAGGAUAGACAGUCCGUUACAGAGCGCUAAACACAUAUCUAUGUUACUUAAUUCUUUUUUAAAAUGUGGAACCUUUUGGAUUUAGGUAAUGCAGUCAAAAGAUAUACAGAAAUAUUCACAAUUGAACAUAAUUUAAAAUAGAUUUCCAAAUAAAGAGUAAGAUGCACAUUU